GACGAACCUGGCGGCGUCUAACACAUGCAAGUCGAACGAUGAAGCGGUGCUUGCACCGUGGAUUAGUGCGAACGGGUGAGUAAUACGUGAGUGACCUACCUUUGACUCUGGGAUAAGCCUGGGAAACUGGGUCUAAUACCGGAUACGACCAAUCUCUGCAUGGGGUGUUGGUGGAAAGCGUUAUGGAGUGGUUUUAGAUGGGCUCACGGCCUAUCAGCUUGUUGGUGAGGUAAUGGCUUACCAAGGCGACGACGGGUAGCCGGCCUGAGAGGGUGACCGGCCACACUGGGACUGAGACACGGCCCAGACUCCUACGGGAGGCAGCAGUGGGGAAUAUUGCACAAUGGGCGCAAGCCUGAUGCAGCGACGCCGCGUGAGGGAUGACGGCCUUCCGGGUUGUAAACCUCUGUUAGCAUCGAAGAAGCGAAAGUGACGGUAGGUGCAGAGAA
rnacentral:rRNA from 1 species